rnacentral:tRNA from 1 species
UGAUCUGUGGCUCAGUGAUAGAGCGCUUGCCUAUCAUGUGAGAGGCUCUGGGUUCGAGCCUCAGCACCACAU